UGGGGAAUUUUGGACAAUGGGCGAAAGCCUGAUCCAGCAAUGCCGCGUGUGUGAAGAAGGCCUUCGGGUUGUAAAGCACUUUUGUCCGGAAAGAAAUCCUUGGCUCUAAUACAGUCGGGGGAUGACGGUACCGGAAGAAUAAGCACCGGCUAACUACGUGCCAGCAGCCGCGGUAAUACGUAUGGUGCAAGCGUUAAUCGGAAUUACUGGGCGUAAAGCGUGCGCAGGCGGUUUGCUAAGACCGAUGUGAAAUCCCCGGGCUCAACCUGGGAACUGCAUUGGUGACUGGCAGGCUAGAGUAUGGCAGAGGGGGGUAGAAUUCCACGUGUAGCAGUGAAAUGCGUAGAGAUGUGGAGGAAUACCGAUGGCGAAGGCAGCCCCCUGGGCCAAUACUGACGCUCGUGCACGAAAGCGUGGGGAGCAAACAGGAUUAGAUACCCUGGUAGUCCACGCCCUAAACGAUGUCAACUAGUUGUUGGGGAUUCAUUUCCUUAGUAACGUAGCUAACGCGUGAAGUUGACCGCCUGGGGAGUACGGUCGCAAGAUUAAAACUU
rnacentral:rRNA from 1 species